CUGUAUAUAAUAAGGAAGUUUUGUUCGCAUAUAUGUAUUUUAAUGCUAAUUUUUAGCUGUUCAAUCUCUCCUUACAAGGGAAUAUACCACCUAUAGAAGCUGCGAGAUAAGCUGGCGAAACGCGAUUUUUUCCUACUCGUUACAGGUUUUACCACCUUACCGAUCUCGACCCACGAAAAUUAUAUUGUGUGCCACAUAUCCAGUCAAUGUAGGCAGACACCAGUGUCGUAUACAAAGAAAAAUGACCUCGCAGACACUUGUGGAUAUCCAAUAACCAUUGUGGAAACGAAGAGGGAGAAUAGCGAAGCGUUGUUCUUUUUUUUAAAAAAAAAAAUAUAUGAUAAAAUAAAAUAAAAACUGGCAUCAGAGACGUUCUAUUGUAUUAAAAAUCAGAUUUUUUACCGUUCAGAGUUGUGCAAUAGGCGUGGAUACUUAUAAUUGUUGAAUCAGAUUUUUGCUCUUACCUAAACAGUUGAAGGUUCCUGGCUUGAUGCCAGCGAUUCGAGCAAGUUUAUAUUCUCCAUCGAUCGGUUGUGGCUAGAGUGACUCGCUCUACUCGAUUGAAUAACGUCCGAAAUAGCGGGAAUCAAAGUCGAACUGUUCCUAAUUUCCUGCAAUACACCACAGGAAUCGCAUCAAAUCCAUUGGAUGGCCGUGCCGAGUUACAUAUACGAAAAGAUGUUACGUGCAGUCGAAGACGCGAGAUUUGCAUUACCGGGCUUACAAAAUUCCCAAUUUGGGAAAGAUCUGGUUACGUUCCGUGGGUGGUCUUCCGAGUUAACACCGUUUUAUAACUCUAAAAUAGCGUUUUUCGGACUGCCGCUGAGGUUGUUCAUCUUAAAACACCCAUCCACAAGUGGUACUUAUUGCGCUUUCCUACGUGCGAUAAACAACAAAACAAGGAGCCAACACUUGGCAAAAUUCCACAGUAAAAAAUAUCGAGAUCGAAAUUUCGUUCACGUUAAUAAAGUGGUGAUUCUUUAACAGCGUUAAACACGCUUUUAAUUAAGUAUAGUCAUUAAGGUGGAUAUAACAAAAGUGUGUUGUCCAUUGUGGGCAUCUGGGCGUAACGAAAAUCGCUUGCAGUCUACAUGUCGCUCUCGUAUACCGAUAACAAAUUUAAAGAUCGACAUUGUUUAUCUCUAAUAGUAAUAAUAAUAAUAAUAUGUCUCCGAGAGGAAAACAAGUUGUCUUUAAUUUGUUUCGCAUCGUUUCUAAUAUGAAAGAGUUAAAAUCUCGUUAAGUGCGGUAACGAUUCAGCGACAGUCGCUCGAGCGAGAAAGAGAAAAAAAUCGCAUUUUCAAUGUCGAAAAAACAUCGUACGCGAUAAAAAAAAUUAUGAUAAACAUUAAUGGUUGCGAGAGGAUAAAAAGCCAGUUUUUAGCAAAUUUUAUGAGUAUCGGUUCACAAUAUUGACAUAAUGAUUGAUUUUAAUCGCAUACUCCGUUAAGGUAGCCCAAGUUGUAUUAUUCAUUAAUGCUAAUUUGAUUUUCUCGAUCGACUUUAAUGGAUACUAACCAGAUUCUGAUGCUGUUAUAGAGAACGAAGAAGAAGAAGAAGAAAAAAAAAAAAGAGUUUCAUUAUUCAUUAGAUUGACGUUCCAUCCAGGAAUUUUUCCUAUGGACGACAUAGAAGCCAUUAGGUGGUUUUGCCCUUGAUACAGACAAAGAAUUUACCCUAUAUCUCAAGCAAAUGUAAUUACGUUUGGAAAAUUAACUCUGGUUUAGGAGGCGUGUUUUUUCCUGGGGGUACUUUUUAACAUUAUUCAUGAUUGGCAUUCAAAAAUAAUAUAUCUCUCGAUCUUUUAAUUAUAUCAGAUAUAACUGGUUCGGGUUUUUUUCUCUCUUAGAAGAUUGUUGCGCGAUUUUUUUUUCUUUCCACGCUAAAUAUUUUUGCUCUUUUGCACGUCAAAAUCGAGGUUUUUAGAUGUUGGGUGAAGCGCAUCACGUUUGGCAGGUGCCAUAUGUUUUAUCCAUUCUGUUAACGGCGUGUCGUCACGUUUAGCGUGACAAACGUCGAAUGACGUGGCGAAGCGUGCUAGAACUUUUAAACAUCACGAAAAACUCUCUUUAAACGCCCUUAGCUCAAGAAAAACACCAAUAAAACGUCUCAGUGCUGAUAUAACAGAAUCGCCAACUUUCUCAAGUGUCGUGGGUGAAGGGAACGUCCUAUAAACCCAUAUUUCUAUUAAUAUUACCAUAUUUGUCGCCGUUCAACCUGACCUUUAUGCGCCAUUUGAUCAAUCAUUUAAAAUUAAUUAUAGGAAAAAAGACGUUUGCAAAAACAUUUUUACACAUCCCACCUGUCCAUUUUUUUAAACAAAAAGCGCAAAGCGAAGCGGAAAAAUGAGCUUUUAAAAAAGCCGAAAAUUCAAUUAAAAAGAAGGAAAGCGAUUUUUUUUUAUCGCCACAAAAAUCUACUCAGAUUAAACCGAUGUGGGGUCUAAAUUAAUAUCGCAAAUCCCUGUAUUGGUUUUCCUCAAUUAGCAGCCAGUGAUUUUUUACCGCCAGAAGCGAUUUUUUUUCUUUCCUUUCUUCGCUAGAAGAUACGGCAUGUUUUUUUGUUAAGAGGUUAGAUAAUUUUAAAACCUUUUAUCCGCAACAUUAUAUAUAAAGUUGAGUAGGUAUAGUCUAAAUUUGGUUGCAGCGCCAUUGGACCCUUCUUGAUUGAUGAUGCUGCAUCUACUAACAUGUCAGCAGCACGUACAUCGGAUACUGUACCAAGUGUAUCCGAUACAAAAGUAGCAGCUUGCUUCUGAUAAUGCCUCACGGUCGAUAAAAUCCAUAAUUCCCCUUCUCGAACGGGACCCACGUCUUCUGUUUUUCUAUAUGUUUAUUUUUUUUCACGUUUUUCUUUGUGAAGCAUAUCGUUUCUGAACGUUUUAUUUUAUUUUUUUUUAACCACGAAGAGGUUCAUUAACGGAGAAAGUAUUUUAAUAAGGUAGAGUCUCCGUUCUUAUCUGAGAUGUGUUGCACGUUUUCUCAUCCGGUAUUUAUAAUCCUGUGUAUGAUUGCUAACCUCCUGCGAGUCCUGUCGUGGGUGGGACGAGUAGGUAAAAGGCGUUUGCCCGAUUUGGCCCAUCAUAAUGGCUCUGGGAUCGUCCUAAGUGCCUUAACUCGCUUUAAUGUAUCCUUUGUAUAAAUAUCACCCCCUUUACGCCCUUGAAUACGUUAAAUAUUAUUUUCUAUCUCCUCUCUUUCCUUUUUUCUUAACGAGUUAUUUUUACUCAAAUUUUUCCUCGGCAAUUACGGAUAUGUUUGUGCACAAGAUCGUUUAUCAGCAUUCCACGAUUGCGUUACGGCAUUCCGAAAUUCCCGAGAUUUUUGCAAUUAGCUAAACAUGUUGUUUGUCUUAAACGAAAAAAAAUUCCCAAUGAAGUCUCAUUGAUGUUUUAAUAAGAUUAAUUGCGAAAAAUAACAAAAACUCAUCAUAAAUGCAAACUAAACCGUUGAGGAAUCCGGAGUAACUCGAUGCGUGCAUGAAACGAUUGUUUUAUCAGGUUUUCAAUGAAGAAGAAGGAAGAAAAAAAUCAAAGUUUAUUUAGAGAAUGCGAUAGGAAGUGACAGAUUUGAUAGAUAAAUUGGCCACGAAUAAAAACGUCUGUUUUAUAACCAUUGAUAUAGUCUUAUAUUGUUACAACUGCACGAAACGUCUUUCAGAAAACAUUAAGAUGGAUUAUGACGCGUU
rnacentral:lncRNA from 1 species